rnacentral:rRNA from 1 species
UGGCGAACGGGUGAGUAACGCGUGGGAAACCUGCCCCUGAGUGGGGGACAACACUUCUAACGAGGUGCUAAUACCGCAUAAUAUCUUUGGAUGGCAUCUUCCGAAGAUCAAAGACGGCCUCUGAUUUAAGCUGUCGUUUGAGGAUGGUCCCGCGUCCGAUUAGCUUGUUGGUGAGGUAAUGGCUCACCAAGGCUACGAUCGGUAGCCGGCCUGAGAGGGUGUCCGGCCACACUGGGACUGAGAUACGGCCCAGACUCCUACGGGAGGCAGCAGUCGAGAAGCUUCCGCAAUGGGCGAAAGCCUGACGGAGCGACGCCGCGUGAGUGAGGAAGGUCUUCGGAUCGUAAAACUCUGUCAGAGGGGAAGAAACACGAAUGGGUUAAUAUCCCAUUCGCUUGACGGUACCCUCAGAGGAAGCUCCGGCUAACUCCGUGCCAGCAGCCGCGGUAAUACGGAGGGAGCAAACGUUGUUCGGAAUCACUGGGCGUAAAGGGCUCGUAGGCGGCUUUUUAAGUCGGGGGUGAAAUCCAGUGGCUCAACCAUUGGCCUGCCUCCGAAACUGAAAAGCUUGAGUCCGUGAGGGGAGAGGGGAAUUCCUGGUGUAUCGGUGAAAUGAGUUGAUAUCAGGAGGAACACCCGUGGCGAAGGCGCCUCUCUGGCACGGUACUGACGCUGAGGAGCGAAAGCGUGGGGAGCAAACAGGAUUAGAUACCCUGGUAGUCCACGCCGUAAACGAUGAGAACUAGG